CUCUACUGGGACAGAAGCUCUACUGGGACGGAAGUUCCUACGCUGGAGAGCAUCCCAAACUUUACCCUUUAUACCUUUUUAUCUGGCUGUCCAUCAGUAUCCUUUAUCAUAUCCUUUAUUAGAUCAUACACUGGAAAACAUGAGUGUUUCCUUGAGUUCUGUGGGCUGUUCAAGAAAAUGACUGAAUCCAAGGAGGGGAUCACGGAAACCUCUACUGCUUAGUCAAAUUGGACAGCAGUCACGGUGGGCAAGCUGGGUCAGGAGGCACAGAAUUUCAAGGCAGAGAAAUAAACGGGGGGACCACAGUGCCUUCCCCACCAGCAGGCCUCCCUUCUGCAGCAAGAGCAAACUGGUGAAGAAGGAGCUUCACAUUUAAAGCAGCUGUCAUUCUCUUCUGCAGAUAGGUGUGACCAUACAUCUGAGAUAUAUCCGAUGGGAAGGGAUUGUAAAUAAUAUGUGUCAUCUCAAGAAUUGCUCUAUAAAACUCUUCUCAUGUCCAAGCCUCCCUGAUGGUUACCCUUUUAAGAUAUGAUGAACUCAAGAUGGCAAACUAAUUAGCUACAUCUUGAAGAUGACAAACAAAACUAUAAGGUGGAAGGAACCUUGGGUCCCUGACUCAGUGUCGGGAAGAAUCACUUGCCAAUCUGAGACUGGUUGGUUUUGGUUUUGGACUUGACAUCUGUCAUAGGUAUCGGGUUACCUAAAUCCGAGCACUCAGGAUAAACUCUGAUUUCCGUGAUCCUCCCUGCACCCCCUUCCUCACCAGGGGAAUACUCAUUUAUUUCCACAAUGCUCUGCCCUCUUCCUGCACACAGGGUUUUCAUUCUCCAGGCUUGAAGCACCAAUUGUCUAAUUCGAUACAAAAAUUAUCCUGGAAAAGCAUAAGGUAAUUAUAAGCAUAAUUAUUCUGUGAAGCAGAAGAAGGAAAAAAAGGUGCUACUUUAACAGCUGUAAAACUUAGCACUUUGUCGUUUCUUGUGGCUACACAAUGCCAAACAUCCAGAUGCGACGUGAUCAUUCAAUCGGCUAGAUGCCUCCAAACUGGAAGAGUUUAGGAGCUGAUAAACAAAGCAGCCUGCCUGAGUGGCUUUUUCCCUUGCGCAUCUGGUUAUUUUGACACUAUCCAGGCAGAAACUUUAUCAUAACAUGACCAAAGACGAAUGUGUGGUACUUGGUCCAAUGACUGGAGGUGGGCACAAUGUGUACAAUUAUUCCCGUUUGUGUGAUUGCUCAACACUGCUCCUUCCAAUCUCUUAACAAAACUUGCACUACUUUACAAACAAAUUAAAAAGAGUGGUUACAUAUGUAAAACUUUUUUUAACUUGACAAAAGCACUUAAUCACCCUGGGGCAUUUUUGCAAGGAGGAGGGGUCUUCAAAAUUGUAUCCACAGCCACCUUGCCGUAAAAAACGAGGUGUCAUGUUUUGUUGGGAAAAGCUAGUUCUACUGUUAGGAAACUGAAAGAAUUCAUUUGUUCUUAUUUAUUCCGACUCCAACGUUCUGUUUGUCGGCAUUUAGACACAGGCUGAAUAAAGUAUAUCAUAUUUACAAUCAUAAUGGAUUUCAAACACACUCUUAGCCAAAGCUUUCAACAGGAAAAAAAAUGCAAUUUAAAAAACAAAUCAGCUUCGUCAAAAGACUGUUCUCUUUCCCCAGCUCAACCUCCCAGUCAUGGUACCCCGGCAAGACGCUUGGUCUUCGAGGGGAAGAAGGACUGGGACCAGGGCUACAGAGAGGAAGAGACAAGGACACCCGCAUUAAUGAAACCUAUCGUCAAAUGAUAUCUUCGAGGAUCAAAAUUCUAGUUUUAUAAUUUCAGAAAGAAGUAUACUCUGCCCCCAGUUUUGGGUGGGGCAGGCUGCCUUUAAGGAACUAUUUUGAUCUACUUUUGUUCAGCCAGUUGAACACUUAGGAGAGCUGAUUUUAUUGUCUCUCUAGCCAGUGAUGUACCUAGAUGAUGGUCAAAGAGGACUUUAACUUCCAGUAAUCUUAACCCUUUUAUGAGUGCAAAUUGAUCACUUAACAUUUUUUAAAAAGUCCAUUUGGUAUCUGACCUGUUAACCUUCAUAUGACGCCAUGACAUCUUAAAAUCGGAGAAACUAUUAGAAAAAUUAUGUCUUAAAUAUGGGCCUUUGUAUCUUUUACACAUUCUCUUCUCCAGUGGUUAUUACCUAAUAAUUUUUGACACUGGUGAUUAAACAUAAAGUUUUACAUUUUAUGAUUUUCUUUCAAACACACGAUUGCGAACAUAUAUAUCAAGGCAAAAAUUAAACAUUCUUCAAGAGUCUGCAAUUAUAUUUAUACAUUAAAAUGUCAACUGGGUGAAAUGAGUAACUUCAAACAAUAUUUUAAUCUCAUUGUUUUAAAACAAAACAAUUCAUCAAUGUUUUAUCAUCAGUCCUAAUAAUCUCACUUUUAAACAAUAGAAAGGGACACUGGUAGCCUUUUUUAAAAAUUAAUUUUAGUGGUGAUUAUGAUUAGAAAAAUUCAGUUAAUUAUUUGAUGUGUUCAUAACCGUAUCAUAUCUGAUUAGAGAGUAAUCUCCAAUCCUUACAACUUGAUUACUGCAACACUUAUUAUACUAUCAUUCAUUCCUGAAUCUUAGUUCUUGAGGUCCCUUCUAGAGGUUAGGUCAGUGCCGAAGUCUCCGUGCCUCAAACGAAAACCUUGACUUUAUAUUGUUGCGUACACGCUGGCAGUCUGCCUGUGCUCAAUUCUGAAACAGAAGGUAGAGAUCGUCCAAGAGAAAAGCCUUGUUUUGGACAGAGUAGGAAUUCUCUGAGCAAAGUUUAUCUUCCA